AUGGGAUCAGAACUUACUAGUUCCGACAACUCCAGGUCCCUGGCACAGAGCAGGUUCACCAGAACUCUUGGCUACCUGAGCGAGACUCCAUCUCAAAAAAUAAUAAUAAUAGGCUCGCGGAGCGAGCUCCGGAGGGAAGUCCCGAGACAAAGGGAAGCGCCGCCGCCGCCGCCGCCGACAGGCGGAGACAAAGGGAAGGUCCUCCGCCUAUCCGCGACGCGCUCGCCGAGGCCCUGGCCGCCCGAGGGACUCUGAACUUGUCAGCGAUCGCCCUCAGCAGACUCACUCAGGAGAGGAAAGCGUGGAGAAAAGACCACCCGUUUGGUUUUGUAGCUGUUCCAACAAAAAAUCCCGAUGGCACGAUGAACCUCAUGAACUGGGAGUGCACCAUUCUAGGAAACAAAGGGACUCUACGGGAAGGAGGCUUGUUUAAACUACAGAUGCUUUUCAAAGAUGACUAUCCAUCUUCGCCACCGAAAUGUAAAUUUGAACCACCGUUUUUUUACCCAAAUAUGUACCCUUUGGGGACAGUGCGCCUGUCCAUCUUAGAGGAGGAUAAAGACUGGAGGCCAGCCAUCACAAUCAAACAGAUCCUAUUAGGAAUACAGGAACUUCUAAAUGAACCACAUAUCCAAGGCCCAGCUCAAGCAGAGGCCUACACGAUUUACUGCCAAAAAAGAGUGGAGUAUGAGAAGGGGGUUCAAGCACAAGCCGAGAGGUUUGCACUGUCAUAAGCAGCGACCUUGUGGCAUCGCAAAAAGGAAGGAAUUGGUUUGGCAAGAACUUGUUUACAACGUUUUUGCAAAUCUAAAGUUGUUCCGUACAAUGACUAGUAACCUGGGUGGGGGGUUCGGUGGGCGCCAUCUUCCAUUGCCACUGCCGGUACGCAGUGUUGAUUCGCUCAGUUGCCCGUUUUUCAUAGAGUCUCUUCCUUCAGUCUUUUGUAUUUUGAUUGUUAU